GUCAAGAUGUCCGAGUGGUUAAGGAGUUUGACUCGAAUUACCUUCGACGAUAUCAAAUGGGUUCGCCCGCGCAGGUUCGAAUCCUGUUCUUGACG
rfam:Pyronema omphalodes CBS 100304, CBS100304, WGS project CATG01000000 data, contig: Pcon_v1_contig686